UACGUAGGGGGCAAGCGUUGUCCGGAAUUAUUGGGCGUAAAGAGCGCGUAGGCGGUCCGAUAAGUCGGCUGUGAAAGUCAAGGGCUCAACCCUUGGAAGCCGGCCGAUACUGUCGGACUAGAGUCCGGAAGAGGCGAGUGGAAUUCCCGGUGUAGCGGUGAAAUGCGCAGAUAUCGGGAGGAACACCAAUUGCGAAGGCAGCUCGCUGGGACGGUACUGACGCUGAGGCGCGAAAGCCAGGGGAGCAAACGGG
rnacentral:rRNA from 1 species